rnacentral:rRNA from 1 species
UACGGAGGGUGCAAGCGUUAAUCGGAAUUACUGGGCGUAAAGCGUGCGUAGGCGGUUCGUUAAGUCUGUUGUGAAAGCCCCGGGCUCAACCUGGGGAAUGGCAAUGGAUACUGGCGAGCUAGAGUGUGUCAGAGGAUGGUGGAAUUCCCGGUGUAGCGGUGAAAUGCGUAGAGAUCGGGAGGAACAUCAGUGGCGAAGGCGGCCAUCUGGGACAACACUGACGCUGAGGCACGAAAGCGUGGGGAGCAA